GUUGAUGUUAAUUGACGUUUUGACAACCGUAUAGCGAGAUGCAAGGUUGGAUCAGCGCCCACUGUCAAAAUAAAUUAUAAAUGUAUUCGAUCAAGCUAUACGUAGGCACCCGUCAUACUAUGUCACCGACCGACGCAAAAGCAAAUUUUGCCAUUUUAUGAUAUAUGAUCGAUAUCCACAAGCUUGGAGUUAGGACAAGAUCAUGGAAGCUCUAUUGAUGUAUUUAAGUCAACUGUAUUUUAAUAAUUUAUUGCCAACUAUCGAUGAUGCAUGCACGUAAUUUCAUGUUGAGUAUUCAUGAAGAAUAGGAUGGUUUCAUCUGAUAAUAAAAGAGUUUAAUUAUUUGA